GGGAAUGUGGCUUAGUGGUAGAGUGCUUGCCUAGCAUGCAUUAAGCCCAGAGUUCAAUUUCUCAUUUCUA
rnacentral:tRNA from 1 species